rnacentral:rRNA from 1 species
CGGAGGAAAAGAAACCAACAGGGAUUGCUCUAGUAACGGCGAGUGAAGCAGCAAUAGCUCAAAUUUGAAAUCUGGCGUCUUCGACGUCCGAGUUGUAAUUUGUAGAGGAUGCUUCUGAGUAACCACCGACCUAAGUUCCUUGGAACAGGACGUCAUAGAGGGUGAGAAUCCCGUAUGCGGUCGGAAAGGUGCUCUAUACGUAGCUCCUUCGACGAGUCGAGUUGUUUGGGAAUGCAGCUCUAAAUGGGAGGUAAAUUUCUUCUAAAGCUAAAUAUUGGCCAGAGACCGAUAGCGCACAAGUAGAGUGAUCGAAAGAUGAAAAGCACUUUGGAAAGAGAGUUAAAAAGCACGUGAAAUUGUUAAAAGGGAAGGGAUUGCAACCAGACUUGCUCGCGGUGUUCCGCCGGUCUUCUGACCGGUCUACUCGCCGCGUUGCAGGCCAGCAUCGUCUGGUGCCGCUGGAUAAGACUUGAGGAAUGUAGCUCCCUCGGGAGUGUUAUAGCCUCUUGUGAUGCAGCGAGCGCCGGGCGAGGUCCGCGCUUCGGCUAGGAUGCUGGCGUAAUGGUCGUAAUCCGCCCGUCUUGAAACACGGACCAAGGAGUCUAACAUCUAUGCGAGUGUUCGGGUGUCAAACCCCUACGCGUAAUGAAAGUGAACGGAGGUGAGAACCGCAAGGUGCAUCAUCGACCGAUCCUGAUGUCUUCGGAUGGAUUUGAGUAAGAGCAUAGCUGUUGGGACCCGAAAGAUGGUGAACUAUGCCUGAAUAGGGUGAAGCCAGAGGAAACUCUGGUGGAGGCUCGCAGCGGUUCUGACGUGCAAAUCGAUCGUCAAAUUUGGGUAUAGGGGCGAAAGACUAAUC